GCAGCGGCACGUCGGCGGGUUGGACUUGGUGCAGGUAGGCUUGUCGCAGCACUUCCACGGCCGGCAGAUGGGUCCAGGGUCGCCGAUGUACUGGUCUUGGCAGAUCCGGCGGGACGGGUCAGCCGCGGACGGCCCGCAGGACUUGCAGGUUUUGGGGCACUUGAAGACCUGGUCCAUGCAGGUGCAGAUGGGAGGGAACGACCUGGUGCAGAAGGGCUCGUCGCAGCACUUCCAUGGCCUCUUCUUGGCCGCCGCCAUGGCUGCUUCGCCUGCAAGCUCUCAGUUGUGAAGGACUGACGGUUUCGUCAUGGCCGCAUGAAGCCACGAACAAGCUAGCUAGAGGAAGAAAGCGGUUUGACG
rnacentral:lncRNA from 1 species